GACGGACGCUGGCGGCGUGCUUAACACAUGCAAGUCGAACGGAAAGGCCCUGCUUUUGUGGGGUGCUCGAGUGGCGAACGGGUGAGUAACACGUGAGUAACCUGCCCUUGACUUUGGGAUAACUUCAGGAAACUGGGGCUAAUACCGGAUAGGAGCUCCUGCUGCAUGGUGGGGGUUGGAAAGUUUCGGCGGUUGGGGAUGGACUCGCGGCUUAUCAGCUUGUUGGUGGGGUAGUGGCUUACCAAGGCUUUGACGGGUAGCCGGCCUGAGAGGGUGACCGGCCACAUUGGGACUGAGAUACGGCCCAGACUCCUACGGGAGGCAGCAGUGGGGAAUAUUGCACAAUGGGCGGAAGCCUGAUGCAGCAACGCCGCGUGCGGGAUGACGGCCUUCGGGUUGUAAACCGCUUUCGCCUGUGACGAAGCGUGAGUGACGGUAAUGGGUAAAAAAGCACCGGCUAACUACGUG
rnacentral:rRNA from 1 species